rnacentral:rRNA from 1 species
AUUGAACGCUGGCGGCAGGCCUAACACAUGCAAGUCGAGCGGAUGAAGGGAGCUUGCUCCUGGAUUCAGCGGCGGACGGGUGAGUAAUGCCUAGGAAUCUGCCUGGUAGUGGGGGAUAACGUCCGGAAACGGGCGCUAAUACCGCAUACGUCCUGAGGGAGGAAGUGGGGGAUCUUCGGACCUCACGCUAUCAGAUGAGCCUAGGUCGGAUUAGCUAGUUGGUGGGGUAAAGGCCUACCAAGGCGACGAUCCGUAACUGGUCUGAGAGGAUGAUCAGUCACACUGGAACUGAGACACGGUCCAGACUCCUACGGGAGGCAGCAGUAGGGAAUAUUGGACAAUGGGCGAAAGCCUGAUCCAGCCAUGCCGCGUGUGUGAAGAAGGUCUUCGGAUUGUAAAGCACUUUAAGUUGGGAGGAAGGGCAGUAAGUUAAUACCUGGCUGUUUUGACGUUACCAACAGAAUAAGCACCGGCUAACUUCGUG